rnacentral:tRNA from 1 species
CAUUAAGAAGCUAUGGAACAGCAUUAGCCUUUUAAGCUAAAGAAAGAGGGAAACCCCUCCUUAAUGG